AAUGCGAGGAAUGCACCAGGGGCAGAGUCCACACAGCCCGCCGCGGCUGCCCUAGCGCCUUCCCUCCCCAGCUCUCGCCGCGCAGCCAGAGGUCACCGGAGCAUCUUCGGAGCUGGAGCUUCAGUUUCAACGACUCACCCGAGAACUGGAAGUGGAAAGGCAGAUUGUUGCCAGUCAGCUAGAAAGAUGUAGGCUUGGAGCAGAAUCACCAAGCAUCGCCAGCACCAGCUCAACUGAGAAGUCAUUUCCUUGGAGAUCAACAGAUUUGCCAAAUACUGGUGUAGGCAAACCUAGAGUUUCUGACGCUGUCCAGCCCAACAACUAUCUCAUCAGGACAGAGCCAGAACAAGGAACCCUCUAUUCACCAGAACAGACAUCUCUCCAUGAAAGUGAGGGAUCAUUGGGUAACUCAAGAAGUUCAACACAAAUGAAUUCUUAUUCCGACAGUGGAUACCAGGAAGCAGGGAGUUUCCACAACAGCCAGAACGUGAGCAAGGCAGACAACAGACAGCAGCAUUCAUUCAUAGGAUCAACUAACAACCAUGUGGUGAGGAAUUCAAG
rnacentral:sRNA from 1 species